UCAUGUUAUUCGAGUAUGGCCUAGUGGUUAGUGCGAUCGGUUUGCAAUUGGCGGGUCGAAAGUUCAAAUUCCAUCACCAAACAUGCUCGACCUUUCGUUAUAAAGACUUGUAUAGCCUCACGUUUAUUUGAUAAAAAGAGGAGCCAAAGCUUUAGCAAUGAGUGGUGUUGACUAGAUCAUAGAUGACUUUCUAUCACUCCUAAAUUAAGGACGGCUAGAGUAGCUUUGCGCGAAAUAUAUUAUUUGAAUAUUGCUCUUUCAGUAUUUCAAUCUUAGUAAUUUGAUGUUAUUCAUUUUAUUAUAUACGUCAUUGAAAAUAAAUAUUCUUCACCUGAAAGUAAAUUUUUACGAUUGCAGUUGUUAAAUUGGGCCGGAAUAGAGUUCCGCCCCUUUCUUUUUUUCAGAUCAUUAACGGUCCUCGUCGUCUGAUUGAAAGAAAAAGUGGCGUUAGUAGUCAGAAAGUAACCCAAGGGAAAUUUUAAGGCGUGCUUAGUUCUGAUAUAACUAAUAUAAGUCUCUCGCUGCUGUAAGGCGAGUUGCGACUGAAAGCUCAUUGGGAAAUGUAUCAUGUAGAUGUGAUUACAAUUCACAUUGAUCUCUGGAUUCUUACGAAGUAACACAGACAGAAUCCAAUUAUUUUCGAACCUGAAAUAAGUAUCAACAACAUAAAAGGUAUAAGUGGCUCUUUCUAUAUCAUGGGAUGGGAGCUGCAAGUGUUAAGAAUGAAGACAUGAAAAGUGUGAAAAUGGGCCCAACUGCUUUCUAUCAUUUGGCAAGUUCACAAAAAACCAGUUUUUCAGUAGGAAGUGGUUAAUUUGAGGUUAUUGACAGAAACUGCGUAAUUAUUUAUGCUGCUUGGCCUUGACUUUUAAGGUAAAUUUACUUGAAAUGCAAAGUUUUAAACAAAGAAAACAAUGCUCCUGGCCAGAGAAAGUUGGCAUCAUUGACAUGGAGGUAUACUUCCCUUCUUUAUAUGUUGACCAGGAAGAGUUAGAAGUACAUGAUUGUGUCUCUCGUGGGAAAUACACAAUUGGUCUUGGUCAAUCCCAGAUGGGCUUUUGUUCUGACAGAGAAGAUGUGAACUCGCUUUGUUUGACUGUAGUCCAGAGACUUGUGGAUCGGACUAAAGUUGGUUAUAAGCAUAUUGGCCGCCUAGAGGUUGGCACAGAAACAAUUAUUGACAAGUCUAAAAGUGUGAAGUCUGUACUGAUGCAACUGUUUAAAGAUUCUGGAAAUACAGACAUUGAGGGAGUGGAUACCACAAAUGCCUGUUAUGGAGGAACAGCUGCUCUUUUUAACUCUCUAUCAUGGGUUGAGUCUAGUGCAUGGGAUGGUCGUUAUGCUGUUGUUGUUGCUGCUGAUAUUGCAGUAUAUGCUAGUGGUAAUGCUCGUCCAACAGGAGGUGCUGGGGCUAUUGCCAUGCUUGUGGGACCAGGUGCUGCUUUAACUUUUGAACGAGGAAUGCGAGCUACACACAUGGCUCAUGUGUAUGACUUCUAUAAACCUGACUUGCUCUCAGAGUUUCCAAGAGUUGAUGGAAAAUUAGCCAUCCAGUGUUACUUUCAAGCUUUAGAUCAGUGUUACCAAUUAUUUUGUAGAAAGGCUCAAGCUUUGGGAAAAACAGGUAAUUGGAAAGAGUUCACUAUUGAUGAUCUAGACAUCAUUCUGUUUCAUGCUCCUUACUGUAAACUAGUGAAGAAAGCUCUUGCAAGGCUUGUUCUCAAUGAUUUUGUAAGAAAUGUUGAUAGUGAAAAGUACAAAACCAUGGAAACAUUCAGUCAUCUGAAACUUCAAGAAACAUAUUUUAAUAAAGACGUAGAGAGAGCUUUUGUGGAGUUCAGUAAGCCCUUGUUUGAGAAGAAAACCCAGCCUGGCCUUCUGCUUGCCAAUCGUGUGGGGAAUAUGUAUACACCAUGUCUGUAUGGAUGUUUGGCUUCAUAUAUAGUCAGAUCUUCCAUCAGUGAUUUACUUGGAAAGCGAGUAGGCAUGUUCUCAUAUGGGUCAGGCUUAGCCUCUAGCAUGUUUUCCAUCAUAGUCACUACUGAUGCCAAAUUGUUGGAGAGCUUACAUACAGCUUUGAAGGACCAGCUGAACUAUUUAGAAUUAAGAAAGAAAGUUAGUCCUACAGAAUUUACAUCCAUUUUAAAGCUUCGAGAACAGACUCAUCAUCAAGGUCCUUUUAAGACAGACUAUAUGCAAGACAUUUCCAGACAAUUGAUGAUCUUAAAGUUGCUGUAAGCAGUGUGAAUUUGGACUUAUAAAAUGACACCUGGCAGGAUGAAUAUUAUGGAACAGGAAAUGCAUCAUACAUCUUGUGGAAAACUCCUUACAGUCCUGUUGGUAAAGUGGAAGACCUGUUUCCCGGAGUAUGGUACCUUGCCUAUGUGGAUAGCAUGCAC
rnacentral:misc_RNA from 1 species